rnacentral:misc_RNA from 1 species
AACUUUUAGCAACGGAUCACUUGGCUCUCGCAUCGAUGAAGAACGCAGCGAAAUGUGAUAAGUAAUGUGAAUUGCAGAAUUCAGUGAAUCAUCGAAUCUCUGAACGCACCUUGCGCCCUUUGGCUAUUCUGAAGGGCAUGCCUGUUUGAGUAUCAUGAACUCCUCAACUCCUCAUGGUUUGCCGUGAUGAGCUUGGACUUUGGGGGUCUUGCUGGCCUAUGGUUGGCUCCUCUCAAAUGGAUCAGCUUGCCAGUGUUUGGUGGCAUCACGGGUGUGAUAAAUAUCUACGCUUGUGGUUUCCACCAUAUAGCCUUCAGCGAUGAAGGUUCUCUGGAGCUCACAAAUGUCCCUCCUCAGCGAGGACAGCUUUUUGAACAUUUGAUCUCAAAUCAGGUAGGAUUACCCGCUGAACUUAAGCAUAUCAAUAAGCGGAGGCU